AUGGCGAUGGCGAUGGCGAUGGCGAUGGGCGCGGGCGGUAGUAGGGCUCCGGACAUUAAAACUUGGGACGAACGCGAUUUUUAACAUCUGCGCUUGCGGGAAGAACAUUAGUCUCUCGUUCGCAAACGCAAAGAGAGAGAGCGUCGUCCUUGUCGCCAACAGAGGAAAUACGCAGCGAAAAGAGGAGGAAGAAAAAAUUAGGAAAUCAAAAACUAAUGGAAGUCUUUGGAGAGGUCACAACUUGGAAAGAGAUUUGUGACUUAAAUUGUCGCUCAAGAACAGCCAGGCGUGUGCCAGCCAGCCAUCACGCAUGAAUAAUGCUUCCUCUCCCAGCUUCGAAGCUCCAGAACACGCAAGAUUUGUCCACAGGGUUUGACAUUCAUUGGUUUUAAAGUUUUGACACACUCGACUCCACUUCAAC